AAAACAACGGUCACUAAUUAGAAGUACAAAACGAGGAUUUGUAAAGAAGAAUGUCAGAGGAUUUCGAUCCUCCCUCCACAUGCCAUCUGCACUGCGCUGGGCCUGUGUCUGUUCCCAGAGACACCACUAUUAUCAGACUGCGAGUCCUGUAAGAUACUUGCAGUCCUCUCCCGGUUUCAUUUGAGUCACAAUGCCACUGAGAUCCAGACCUCUGACCUGCUCCAGAAGAUGUGCCACCUCCACUCUAAUGCUAUUCCUCGAUGUGAAGGGUUUGUGAAGCUGCAUGGCCACAGGCUCCUGAAGAGCGAUGGGAAACAACCAGCCCUUACUGCAUGUGAGGAAGAUUACCUUUGCAAGGGACCCAAAUGAAAGUGAUCGUUCGAGCAAGACUCAAAGAUCAGAAAAGCAUCAACUUUUUACUGUACUUAACCAAGCUUUGUCUAUCCACUCCCCUUGCCACACAUAAAAUCAAGUGAAAUUUGAGACAUACAGUAAAUGUGGAGACAAUGACUGUUCAAUCAGUUUCAAAUAACCUUCAUGUGCCAAUUUGUAUUUAAUGUACCUGUACUUAACUACUUCCUAUCAAUUAUGUUAUUAUGUUUAUCUGUAUUUCCAUACUCUGAACCUCACCGAGUAAACAUUAAACUAGUCAAUUUAACAUAGGAAAUCCUAAAGUAGCUUGCAUUUAGUGUAACAUUAUAUAAAAUAAUUAUUUCCUCACAUUUGUGUUAAAAUGACAUAAGAAAUAAACUGUAUAGAUUAAUAUUUUGAGGCAUUGUACGCAGUUUAUUGAGAGAAAACUGACAUUUCUGUUUGUCAAAUCAAAUGAAGGCCU
rnacentral:lncRNA from 1 species